GUAACCUGCCCCCGACUCUGGGAUAACCCCGGGAAACCGGAGCUAAUACCGGAUACGACCCGCACAGGCAUCUACGCGGGUGGAAAGAUUUAUCGGUCAGGGAUGGACUCGCGGCCUAUCAGCUUGUUGGUGAGGUAACGGCCCACCAAGGCGACGACGGGUAGCCGGCCUGAGAGGGCGACCGGCCACACUGGGACUGAGACACGGCCCAGACUCCUACGGGAGGCAGCAGUGGGGAAUAUUGCUCAAUGGGCGCAAGCCUGAAGCAGCGACGCCGCGUGAGGGAUGAAGGCCUUCGGGUUGUAAACCUCUUUCAGCUCCGAAGAAGCGAAAGUGACGGUAGGAGCAAAAGAAGCACCGGCUAACUACGUGCCAGCAGCCGCGGUAAUACGUAGGGUGCAAGCGUUGUCCGGAUUUAUUGGGCGUAAAGAGCUCGUAGGCGGUCUGUCGCGUCUGCUGUGAAAACUCGGGGCUUAACCCCGGGCCUGCAGUGGGUACGGGCAGACUAGAGUGCGGUAGGGGAGACUGGAAUUCCUGGUGUAGCGGUGAAAUGCGCAGAUAUCAGGAGGAACACCGGUGGCGAAGGCGGGUCUCUGGGCCGUAACUGACGCUGAGGAGCGAAAGCAUGGGUAGCGAAUGGGAUUAGAUACCCCAGUAGUC
rnacentral:rRNA from 1 species